rnacentral:miRNA from 1 species
UUCCGGUGGUGAGGAAGAUAG